UGCUUUGAGUUCCUGCAGGUAGCCUGAGA
rnacentral:piRNA from 1 species